UACGUAGGGUGCAAGCGUUAAUCGGAAUUACUGGGCGUAAAGCGUGCGCAGGCGGUGAUGUAAGACAGGUGUGAAAUCCCCGGGCUUAACCUGGGAACUGCAUUUGUGACUGCAUCGCUGGAGUGCGGCAGAGGGGGAUGGAAUUCCGCGUGUAGCAGUGAAAUGCGUAGAUAUGCGGAGGAACACCGAUGGCGAAGGCGGCAUCCUGGACCAAUUCUGACGCUGAGGAGCGAAAGCCAGGGGAGCAAACGGG
rnacentral:rRNA from 1 species